rnacentral:lncRNA from 1 species
AGACGUUGUUGACUAAGCUGUGUGGGCAGGACCGGCUCCUGAGGCAGCUACAGGAGGAUCUGGACAAGAGGCAGGAGGAGAAGGUACAGAAGGGGUGAUGUGCCUUAGCUGCUCCUGCCCUUGAUUCCUCCCCAGGCACCAGGGUCGAGAUGCUUCCCCUGUGGUGGGCUUGGGGGGCUCGCUUGCCCUCUUGGCUUCAGAAGUCCAAUCGCUGUGGUCUGUGCAGGAGCAGCUGGAGGCAGCUUUGGAGCUGACCCGGCAGCAGCUGGGCCAAGCUACCAGGGAGGCUGCAGCUUCCGGGAAGGCCUGGGGUCGCCAGCGCCUUCUGCAGGACCGGCUGGUGAACGUGAGGGCUGCUCUGUGUCACCUGGCUCAGGUGAGCAUCUGGGAAGAGACUCCCAGGCUUGUGCAGGUCACUGCAGAGAUUCCGUAGGCCUGUGGGUUGUUCUCGAAAUGCCAGUGCAGUCACAAAACCCACUCAUAACUCUAAAUCUAUCAUGUUUAAAAAAUGUGUUCUUACUACAUGUGUGUGUGUAUGUGUGUGCACAUGUGAGUGCAUAUGUAUGUAUUGUGUGUGUGUGCACAUGUGAGUGCACAUAUAUGUAUCCCACAGCACCCAUGUGAGGGCCAGAGGACAAUGUGAAGGAGUCAGUCUCUUCUAUUCUGUUGGUCCUGGGGACCAAGCUCAGAUCAUCAGACUUGGCAGCAAGUCCCUUUAACAACUGAGCUAUCUUACAGGCUCCUUAAACCCAUACUCUUGAUUUUUAUAGAGGCUACGGGGCAAAGAGCCCAGCUGUAACAAAACUUAAUUUAGUAGCUUAGGGAUGAUGAUUAUCAUCAUCACCAUAACCACCAUUAUCAUCAUCAUCAUCAUCAUUGGUUUUUGGUUUUUUGUUUGUUUGUUUGUUUGUUUGUUUGUUUUUGGCAACGGUUUCUCUGUGUAACCCGAGUUGUCCUGGAGCUCACCAUGUGAAUCAAACUGGUCUCAAACUCACAGAGAUCCAUCUGCCUCUGCUUCCCUAGGGCUGGGAUUGAAGGCUUGUGCUACUACACCUGGCCUAGAGGAUGAUUUUUAAAAUGUGUUUUCUGUUAUACAUACGUGUGUGUAUGUAUGUGGAUGUAUAUGUGCACAUACAUGGACACACACAUAUAUGUGAACCCAGGGCUUCACUCACAAGGUGAUCUGUGUUGCAGGAAAUAUUAAAAAUGACCCGGCAUGUUCCCGCUCUAGUGCUAGCACCAGCAGGCCACAACACUGUGCCCCGGCAGGGUUCUGCCAGCUCUGUCCCACAUUCCAGUAACCAAAUUGAACUGCCAACCUCACGGUUAGAUAUCACAAUACCCAGUAACCUGGUAAAAUCAAAACUCUAACUAAUCAGAUUUAUGUAUCAAUAGAAUCACAAUUUACAAGAUGCCAACACAAUAAUUUCAGAGCAGAUUGACAAUGAUAAGAGCUUUAUUGCAAUUAUUCUAACCUUACAAUAUCAUAACUACCUACCUGUGGCUGGCUCAAACCACGCUGGUUCGCAUUUGCUUCCAUUCUCUCUCUCUCUCUCCUCUCUCUCUCUCUCGCUCUCUCUCUCUCUUUCUCUCCUCUCUCUUCCCUCUCUCUCUCUCUCCCCCUGAGAUGCUCUCUGUCUCUGCAACUCUUGACUCCGCCUCCCUUUUCCCUGUCCAAUCACAGGUCUCCUCUGCACUAAUGUAAUUGGACGGGGAAAAUCCUGUGCUGCCUCUGACUUGAUUUUAUCUUAUAUUUUAAUAGGCUCACUGUAUGUUCCCAGCGGGCCUAGAACUCAGAGUUCUGCCCGCUUCUGUCUUCCUUGUGCUGGGAUUAGAAUUAGAGGUGUGGCCAUCAUGCUCUGCCAAGGGAAACCAGGGUGAUAAUUUAUUACCAUCAUGAUCACAUAUUCUGUUGGCAGGAUGACAUCUCAGCCUCAGGACCUGAUUCUCAGACCCACAUGGCAGAUAAAGAGAAACAACUCCGGCUGGAGAGAUAGUUCAAAGGUUAAGAGCACUGAGUUCAAUUCCCAGCAACCACAUCGUUAGCUCACCUAUAAUGAUAUCGUGUGCCUUCUUCUUCUAGACAUACAUGAAGGCAGACUGCUGUAUACAUAAUAAAUAAAUACAUUUUUUAAAAAAGAAACAACUCCUACAAAUCACUCUUUCCCACUCACGCUUGCACAGACAUGAAUACAUGCUUAAAAAUCGGUUGUGUUUUUGCACGUGCCAGCGUGCUGGUGGGGGUCAGAGGAAGCUUAUAGCCAUUGGUGCCCUCCUUCCAUGUGGAGCUCAGGGAUGGAGUACAGGUCUGCAGGUUUGCUGCUUAGCGCCUUUCUUGCUAAGCUUUCUCAUGGUUCUCCUUAGACAAUUGUCACUGGCUUUGAGUGUGCUUUCCCUCAAGGUUACUGUGUGACCUC